rnacentral:rRNA from 1 species
GACGAACGCUGGCGGCGGGCUUAACACAUGCAAGUCGAACGGAAGGGCCCUGGUUUUUUGCGAUGCUCGAGUGGGGAAGGGGUGAGUAACACGUGAGUAACCUGCCCUUGCCUUUGGGAAAACUUCAGGAAGCUGAGGGUAAGACCAAUUAGGAGCGCCUGCUGCUGGGUGGGGGUGGGAAAGUUUCGGCGGUUGGGGAUGGACUCGCGGCUUAUCAGCUGGUUGGUGGGGUAGUGGCUUACCAAGGCUUUGAGGGGUAGCCGGCCUGAGAGGGUGACCGGCAACCUUGCGAGUGAGAUACGGCAGGCACUAGUGAGGAAUGUAGCAGAGGGGACUUUAGCACGAUGCACGGAAGCAGCAUGCAGCAUGGCCGCGCGAGGGAUUGCGGCCUUCUUUUAGUAAACCACUUUGGCCUCUGCCGGUGCGUGAGUGACGGUACCGGAUAAAUAAGCACCGGCUAACUACGUG